CACAGCCAUAUCCCCCACACCCCACACACACCAACACACUACAUAUACAGGUCACAGCCAUAUCCCCCACCCCACACACACCAACACAAUACAUAUACAGGUCACAGCCAUAUCCCCCACACACCAACACACUACAUAUACAGGUCACAGCCAUAUCCCCCACACACCAACACACUACAUAUACAGGUCACAGCCAUAUCCCCCACACCCCACACACACCAACACAAUACAUAUACAGGUCACAGCCAUAUCCCACACACACCAACACAAUACAUAUACAGGUCACAGCCAUAUCUCCCACCCCACACACACCAACACACUGCAUAUACAGGUCACAGUCAUAUCCCCCACACACCAACACACUACAGAUACAGGUCACAGCCAUAUCCCCCACACACCAACACACUGCAUAUCCAGGUCACAGUCAUAUCCCCCACACACCAACACACUACAUAUACAGGUCACAGCCAUAUCCCCCACACACCAACACACUACAUAUACAGGUCACAGCCAUAUCCCCCACACACCAACACACUACAUAUACAGGUCACAGCCAUAUCUCCCACCCCACACACACCAACACACUGCAUAUACAGGUCACAGUCAUAUCCCCCACACACCAACACACUACAGAUACAGGUCACAGCCAUAUCCCCCACACACCAACACACUGCAUAUACAGGUCACAGCCAUAUCCCCCACACACCAACACACUACAGAUACAGGUCACAGCCAUAUCCCCCACACACCAACACACUACAGAUACAGGUCACAGCCAUAUCCCCC